AGAGUUUGAUCAUGGCUCAGGAUGAACGCUAGCGGUGUGCCUUAAGCAUGCAAGUCGAGCGGUCGCCUUUGGUGACAGCGGCAGACGGCUGAGUAACACGUAGGUAGCUACCCUUUAGCGGGGGAUAGCCCGCCGAAAGGCGGAGUAAUCCCGCAUAAUCCCCGCUGUUUCUGAAGACAAAAAUUACCCACCGUUAUUUUUUUUUGAACAAACUUUAAAAAUAACCAAGGCGGUAUUCUUGUUUUCUGAAACGGCGGGGGAAAGAGCUUAACUGCUCACUGAAGGAGGCGCCUGCGGCCUAUCAGCUUGUUGGUAGGGUAAUGGCCUACCAAGGCAAAGACGGGUAGGGGGCGUGAGAGCGUGGCCCCCCAGAAUGGGACUGAGACACGGCCCAUACACCUACGGGUGGCAGCAACUGGGAAUCUUGCGCUAUGGGCGAAAGCCUGACGCAGCGACACCGCGUGAAGGAUGAAGGCCUUCGGGUUGUAAACUUCUGUUAAAUAGCACCGGCUAACUACGUGCCAGCAGCUGCGGUAAGACGUAGGGUGCAAGCGUUAUCCGGAUUUACUGGGCGUGAAGAGUUCGUAGGCGGAAAGGUAGGUUGCUGGUUAAAGCCCCCGGCUCAACCGGGGAAAAGCUGGCAAAACCGCUUUUCUUGUCCUCUGCAGGGGGUGCUGGAACUUACCAUGUAGGAGUGAAAUCCGUUGAUAUGGUAAGGAACGCCAACGGCGAAGGCGGGCACCUGGGCAGGAGGAGACGCUGAGGAACGAAAGCUAGGGGAGCGAACCGGAUUAGAGACCCGGGUAGUCCUAGCCGUAAACGAUGUCCGCUAGUUGCUUGAGAGUAAUCUUAGGUGACGAAGGUAACCCAUUAAGCGGACCGCCUGGGGAAGUACGA
rnacentral:rRNA from 1 species